CAGCAUACCAUCCUUAACAUGCUAAAUUUAAUUAGAAGCUAAGCAGAGACAAGCCUGCUUACUACUUGGAUGGAAGACCAGUUGAGAAUACUGGGAUUCUGC
rnacentral:rRNA from 1 species